CACGACAGCAUCAUGAUUCAAAGGAGAAGUGAGAGCAGAGAGGUCCCAGAAACAGAUCAAAGUGUAAUGUUACAGAAGAGCAGCUAAACUGCAGCGAUUGGCUCCUGAGUGUGGGAAACACAGAGAAACCCGGACUCACGCUCACUUCCCUGUCCUCUUGGAGCUAUAAAUGCAGAUGCAGCAAACAGCAGAGACCGUGUCUGAGUUCCUGCCAGCUUCGAGAAUGCGUCGAUUUACUUACAAAACCAUAUCAAUUGCAAGACGAGAAAACAUCUCAGCUAAGCUGUUAAAAGUAUGGUUGCAGAGAUUGCACGGACUAAAUUCAGCAGUUUAGAGGUCACUACGUUGAAAAAGAAAGAUUACUACCCGAAACGGAAUCGGUAACAAGUCUCGGUUCGUCUUCCGCCACUGAUUGAACACCAGGACAAUCGCAGACCUGCUGUCAACUCGUAACACUCAGAUGCAAAUUAAGAAGAAAAUCCCCAGGCGAUUGAACCGAGGUUCAGAUCUGUAUUUCUCGGCUUGUCAGGCCCGGUCAAGCAAAACUUCUCGGCUCAGCACCGCUGAAACCCCGCACCUGGACAACAUUUUACAUGUCCCAGGAAGUGAGAGAUACUGAAGGUCUAUUGUCCGGUGUUAAACAGUAUUCCACAAUGCAAGUAUCAUAGUUAAUAUCUUCACAUUGAAGCAGUUGGAUGCUUUAUUAGCGUCUAGUCCUCAAUCGAGCGACAUCAUAGUCCACGAUCCGUUUUCGACAAUCUUCCCUCAAUAAGCUCUCCGGUAUUUUAAUAGCCAUGGAAUUGUGCAGCAGAAACCCCCUGUUGAAGUGUGACAGGAAACAGAGAGUAGUUUAUUCUGAUGAUUAGUUUUGACUUUUGUAAAGUCUAGAUUCAUUCACGGAGCACUUUAUUCGAAUAAAUAUGAAGUAGAGAGCUUACGGACCUCCUGAUGUUUCGCUUCCUCUCAGCGUUGUGAAGGUUCAUUGUAAAGAUUGCACUUCUACGUGAUCAGAGAUACUGGGAACUGCAGAUGCUGGAGAAUCCGAGAUAACAAAGUGUGAAGCUGGAUGAACACAGCAGGCCCAGCAGCAUCUCAGGAGCACAAAAGCUGAUGUUUCGGG